UUGCUUCAGAAGCACAUGUAUUAAAAUUGGCACAAUACAGAGAUUAGCAUGGCCCCUGUGCAAGGAUGACACACAAAUUUGUGAAGCAGUCCAUAUUCUA
ensembl:snRNA U6 U6 spliceosomal RNA